GGAGCAUAAGGUUAGCAGAGACACUCUAGAGUUCUAAAACUUGUAAUAGCUUUGUACUUACAGCAGAAGAAAACAAAUUUAAACUGGGUUAAAGGAUUUGGGGUGGUAAUAGAAUUAUUUUUUAUUUAUACCUAUCUAUGCUAGGGGGGCAACAGUUUUUUUUUUUUUUUUUUGUAUUUUAAUGAUUUUCCAUUUUAAAAAUAAUUUCCAG
rnacentral:lncRNA from 1 species